AUGACUUUUAAGCAGCUUCUUGCUCUUGAUCCAUUAGAUAAUUUGUUUCAUUUCUGCAGGGCAAGCCUUUCAUUUGUAAGGUCACCAUCAUGCGUCUGGGCUCUGAUCAGCGUUGGUGGUUCCUCUCGUGCGUUGCCUGCCAUAAGACUGCGUAGGUUAAUGGGCCUAGGUUCCGUUGCUCAGACCAAGGUUGCUCUUCCGUUGGGGCAGAGCCGGCAUAUUCUAUCUGCACAUUUGCAACUGAUGGAUCAGCUGAGGCUGAAUCCAAUGUUCUUUGAGAGAGCUGGCAGAGCAGCAAUAGGCAAACCACUUCUAACCUUGCUGCGGCAAAAGUAUCCAGGGUAUUCACUAUUCAGAGGUUCGCGACCUUGCGCAGAUAGUAGGAGCUGA
rnacentral:rRNA from 1 species